GCUCCUGUGACGCAGUGGUAGCGUGUGGAUCUUAUGCCAGCUCCCGCUGACAUGCCAGUCUGAAGCCGUGAGUUCGAUCCUCACCAGGAGCA